GGGGGAUAUAGCUCAGUGGUAGAACAUUCGACUGCAGAUCGAGAGGUCUCCGGUUCAAACCCGGGUCCUCU
rnacentral:tRNA from 1 species